rnacentral:misc_RNA from 1 species
GAUGAAGAACGUAGCGAAAUGCGAUACGUAAUGUGAAUUGCAGAAUUCAGUGAAUCAUCGAGUCUUUGAACGCACAUUGCGCCCUUUGGCUAUUCUGAAGGGCAUGCCUGUUUGAGUAUCAUGAACACCUCAACUCUCAUGGUUUGCCAUGAUGAGCUUGGACUUUGGGGGUCUUGCUGGCCUACGGUCGGCUCCUCUCAAAUGAAUCAGCUUGCCAGUGUUUGGUGGCAUCACGGGUGUGAUAACUAUCUACGCUUGUGGUUUCCCACCAGGUAACCUUCAGUGAUGGAGGUUCGCUGGGGCUCAUAAAUGUCCCUCCACAGUGAGGACAGCUUUUGAACGUUUGAUCUCAAAUCAGGUAGGACUACCCGCUGAACUUAAGCAUAUCAAUAAGCGGAGGA